AGCCUAAAAAAGACUGUCUUUUCUGGCAAGCCCUUCAUGAGAUAAGAACAUUGUCCUUUUGUUCUGAAUUUGGCUGCACUGCUUUCUCCCUGUUUUUUCUUGCUGGAACUUUGGACUUUUACCUUACCUCUCCAAAGUCAUGGGGCUUUCCAGAUUUUCCAAUUCUUUGUUUGAGAUGCCAAUAAUCUGGACAUCCUCUACCAGUACACAUUUGGCGAGUCAGCCAGGAGGAGAGACCCUCAAGCUUCAGAUGAUCAUGCAACAAACAUUCCAGCCAGUUCCUGGUGAAGACACCACCCCUGGCCAUCAAGAAACUACCCUGCCUCCACUAGACAGAGAAAGGCAAGAGUUCCAUGAUCCCCAGUAGGUAGGGACUACGCCCCAAGCCAGCAUGAAGCAGUUACAGAAGAAAGAUCCUCAGUCCCUCCACCUCCCAUAAAGAUUUAUAGGAAUUACAUUUCUCAGGGAGAAAAUGAGGCAGGAAAACAUGAUCUGGAGGAAUGGAACAUGAGGCCAAUUCACAUUUCAGCUAUGACAGGAAAUAUUAUCUUUAUUUACAUAGGGCUUACACAAAGUAAACAACGGAAAACUCUAGAGCGUAUUUAACCCCCUCAAAUUCUGUAACAGAACCUUGAGUCCCUAUGCUUGGGCCCACUCCCACGCUGCGGAGUAUAUUUCAUUUUCAGUAAAUCUCUGCUGUUGUUGCUU